CGGGCCGUAGCGAAGCCUGGUAUCGCGCUUGGCUGGGGGCCAAGAGAUCGCAAGUUCAAAUCUUGUCGGCCCGA
rnacentral:tRNA from 1 species